GUGAAGACGGGGAGAGGUGAAGACGGGGAGAGAGGUGAAGACGGGGAGAGAGGUGAAGACGGGGAGAGGUGAAGACGGGGAGAGGUGAAGACGGGGAGAGGUGAAGACGGGGAGAGGUGAAGACGGGGAGAGAGGUGAAGACGGGGAGAGAGGUGAAGACGGGGAGAGAGGUGAAGACGGGGAGAGAGGUGAAGACGGGGAGAGAGGUGAAGACUGGGAGAGAGGUGAAGACGGGGAGAGAGGUGAAGACGGGGAGAGAGGUGAAGACGGGGAGAGAGGUGAAGACGGGGAGAGAGGUGAAGACUGGGAGAGAGGUGAAGACGGGGAGAGAGGUGAAGACGGGGAGAGAGGUGAAGACGGGGAGAGAGGUGAAGACGGGGAGAGAGGUGAAGACGGGGAGAGGUGAA